rnacentral:rRNA from 1 species
UACGAAGGGGGCUAGCGUUGCUCGGAAUUACUGGGCGUAAAGCGCACGUAGGCGGCUUUCUAAGUCGGGGGUGAAAUCCUGGAGCUCAACUCCAGAACUGCCUUCGAUACUGGAAAGCUUGAGACCGGAAGAGGACAGCGGAACUGCGAGUGUAGAGGUGAAAUUCGUAGAUAUUCGCAAGAACACCAGUGGCGAAGGCGGCUGUCUGGUCCGGUUCUGACGCUGAGGCGCGAAAGCGUGGGGAGCAAACAGG